rnacentral:rRNA from 1 species
UGGAAUGCGCAGAUAUCAGGAGGAACACCGAUGGCGAAGGCAGGUCUCUGGGCCAAUACUGACACUGAGGAGCGAAAGCGUGGGGAGCGAACAGGAUUAGAUACCCUGGUAGUCCACGCCGUAAACGUUGGGCGCUAGAUGUGGGUCACAUUCCACGUGAUCCGUGUCGCAGCUAACGCAUUAAGCGCCCCGCCUGGGGAGUACGGCCGCAAGGCUAAAACUCAAAGGAAUUGACGGGGGCCCGCACAAGCGGCGGAGCAUGCGGAUUAAUUCGAUGCAACGCGAAGAACCUUACCAAGGCUUGACAUGUAGAGGAAAACUGCAGAAAUGUAGUCCCCCGCAAGGGUCUCUAUGCAGGUGGUGCAUGGUUGUCGUCAGCUCGUGUCGUGAGAUGUUGGGUUAAGUCCCGCAACGAGCGCAACCCUCGUCCUAUGUUGCCAGCACGUAAAGGUGGGAACUCAUGGGAGACUGCCGGGGUCAACUCGGAGGAAGGUGGGGAUGACGUCAAAUCAUCAUGCCCCUUAUGUCUUGGGCUUCACGCAUGCUACAAUGGCCGGUACAAAGGGCUGCAAUACCGUAAGGUGGAGCGAAUCCCAAAAAGCCGGUCUCAGUUCGGAUUGAGGUCUGCAACUCGACCUCAUGAAGUCGGAGUCGCUAGUAAUCGCAGAUCAGCAACGCUGCGGUGAAUACGUUCCCGGGCCUUGUACACACCGCCCGUCAAGUCACGAAAGUCGGUAACACCCGAAGCCGGUGGCCUAACCGUAAGGAAGGAGCCGUCGAAGGUGGGACUGGUGAUUGGGACUAAGUCGUAACAAGGUAGCCGUACCGGAAGGUGCGGCUG